CCUACGGGAGGCAGCAGUGAGGAAUAUUGGUCAAUGGACGAGAGUCUGAACCAGCCAAGUAGCGUGAGGGAUGACUGCCCUAUGGGUUGUAAACUUCUUUUAUAUGGGAAUAAAAUGUUCCACGUGUGGGAUGUUGUAUGUACCAUAUGAAUAAGGAUCGGCUAACUCCGUGCCAGCAGCCGCGGUAAUACGGAGGAUCCGAGCGUUAUCCGGAUUUAUUGGGUUUAAAGGGAGCGUAGGUGGAUUGUUAAGUCAGUUGUUAAAGUUUGCGGCUCCACCGUAAAAUUGCAGUUGAUACUGGCAGACUCGAGUACAGUCGAGGUAGGCGGAAUUAGUUGAGUAGCGGUGAAAUGCUUAGAUAUCACGAAGAACUCCGAUAGCGAAGGCAGCUCACUGGACUGCAACUGACGCUGAGGCACGAAAGUGUGGGUAUCGAACAGGAUUAGAUACCCUUGUAGUC
rnacentral:rRNA from 1 species